rnacentral:rRNA from 1 species
CCAGCAGCCGCGGUAAUUCCAGCUCCAAUAGCGUAUAUUAAAGUUGUUGCAGUUAAAAAGCUCGUAGUUGGAUUUCUGGGAGGGUGCCCAUGUCCGCUUGUUGCGUGUGCAGCGGCGCCCUCCCAUCCUUCUGUUAACGUUUCUGAUAUUCACUUAUUGGUCUCGGGCUCAGAUAUUUUACCUUGAGAAAAUUAGAGUGUUCCAGGCAGGCUUGCGCCGGAAUACAUUAGCAUGGAAUAAUAGAAUAGGACUUUAGUCUCCUUUGUUGGUUUGAGGGACUGAAGUAAUGAUUAAUAGGGAUAGUUGGGGGCAUUAGUAUUUAAUUGUCAGAGGUGAAAUUCUCGGAUUUGUUAAAGACGAACU